rnacentral:rRNA from 1 species
CAGUAGCCGCGGUAAUACAGAGGGUGCGAGCGUUAAUCGGAUUUACUGGGCGUAAAGCGUGCGUAGGCGGCUUCUUAAGUCGGAUGUGAAAUCCCUGAGCUUAACUUAGGAAUUGCAUUCGAUACUGGGAAGCUAGAGUAUGGGAGAGGAUGGUAGAAUUCCAGGUGUAGCGGUGAAAUGCGUAGAGAUCUGGAGGAAUACCGAUGGCGAAGGCAGCCAUCUGGCCUAAUACUGACGCUGAGGUACGAAAGCAUGGGGAGCAAACAGGAUUAGAUACCCGCGUAGUCCCUGUCUCUUAUAA